rnacentral:lncRNA from 1 species
CUUACAGCAAAAAUGAAACAAAUGAAAAAUAAGCUUCGUGUACUACAAAAGGAACUAACAGAAGCAAAAUAAAUAAAAUCAUAGAGAAUCAAAAACUUAAAAGAGAACAAGAGCUCUGCAGUGUGAGAUUGACUUUAAACCAAGAAGAAGAGAAGAGAAGAAAUGCCAAUAUAUUAAAUGAAAAAUUAGGGAAGAAUUAGGAAAAAUCGAAGAGCAACAAAAGAAAAAGUUAGAAGUGAAGCAACUUGAGC